rnacentral:rRNA from 1 species
UACGGGGGGGGCAAGCGUUGUUCGGAAUUACUGGGCGUAAAGGGCUCGUAGGCGGCCAACUAAGUCGGAUGUGAAAUCCCCAGGCUUAACCUGGGAACUGCAUCCGAUACUGGAUGGCUUGAAUUCGGGAGAGGGAUGCAGAAUUCCAGGUGUAGCGGUGAAAUGCGUAGAUAUCUGGAGGAAUACCGGUGGCGAAGGCGGGUCUCUGGGCAACAACUGACGCUGAGGAGCGAAAGCGUGGGGAGCGAACAGG